rnacentral:rRNA from 1 species
UACGGAGGGUGCGAGCGUUGUCCGGAAUCACUGGGCGUAAAGGGCGCGUAGGCGGCGCGGAAAGUCAACGGUGAAAGCUUGGGGCUCAACCCCGAGUCGGCCGUCGAUACUUCUGCGCUGGAGCACUGUAGAGGCAGGUGGAAUUCCGGGUGUAGCGGUGGAAUGCGUAGAGAUCCGGAAGAACACCAGUGGCGAAGGCAGCGAACUGGCCCUUAAUUGACGCUCAGGCACGAAAGCAUGGGGAUCAAACAGG